rnacentral:lncRNA from 1 species
UUUUUUUUUUUUUUUUUUUUUUUGCAAAAUGUAGUUAUCAAGAUUCGAACUCAAGACCUUUGUAUUAGAAGACCAAUGUAGUAACCAUUGCACUAUCACAUCUUAUUGGUUUCUUUUGAUAACUUAUUUAUAUAAAACAAACACUCAUAUUUCUUUUGUUCCAUUUUUUUUACAAAAUAUCAUCUUUUCAUGACUCUUUCUUUUUAAUCUUCAACACACACACACACACACACACACACACCCUCUCUCUCUCUCUCUAUCAUCUUUUCUUUUGCCACUCAUUUUAUAAUCAAACCUCUUUAUUUUUAAUUUAUUGAUGUUUUCUUCCAUAUUUUAAUUUUGUUUUUGUCCAUUAAAUUUAAAAAAGUUAAAAAAGAAUUAUUUUUCUUUAACCCAAUUUAUUUAAUACCACAACCACUCACUUUUAUCUCAUUUCUUGUUUCUUAUCAAAUUUGCAUUUCUAUUUUCAAUUCUCUUGAUUUUUUUCGAACUCCAAACUUCCUUUUUUAAAUUGUAAAUUUAAAUUCCAAAAUGUAAAUUAAAAUUUAAGUUCACAAUGUCUAAAUUCUCAUAGACGUGAAUUUUGUAUAAUUUCAAAUAUUGUGAUAUUUUUGGAUUAUAUUUAAGAUUUUUUUGGUUGAUAUAAUUGAAAUUGAGAUGAAAUUUAUUUGUUUUAACUUAUAAUUUAAAAAAUUUAUUUUUAAAAAUCCAAGUUAUUCAAAAAUAGUAAACUUUUCAUCAUAUAAAGUAUUAAAUUAUCCAUUACAUGUCUUAUUUUGUGCACAUAUAUAUUUAUAUAAAUUAUUUUUUAAAAAAUUCAUUGAACCGAGGUUGAACCGGUCCGACCGGUUGAACCUCGACCCUUUCACUUCACCGGUUCGAUUAACGGUCCGGUUUUUAAAACAUUGGUUGAGACCAAAUAGGAAACAAAUGGACCGCUUGAUAGGAGUUGGCCAGCAACAAUUUCUGAGUGUGACUCUUGGAAGUAGGAUAUACGGCCGUCACUUGUUUCUUUUCUUUCCCUCUUGUCUUUCGUUAGUUUUUUUAGAGAAAAAACAUCCGCAUUUGUUAUCAAUGGAGUUUUAUGGAUUUCUCUUAAGGAUGCGUCGCUAAAUUCUAUUUCUAGCCUGAGGAUUACUUGAAGACUUUGUUGUACAAACUGUGAGAUCGAAUCAAUUACACUGUUUCUUUUAUUUGUUGGUAUUUAUUCAUUUUUUGAUUUUAAUAAUUGUGACUAUUAUGUUAUUCGAAUAUCAAAGGGCCCAGUAUUUGAAUUGAUUUGAUAGUUGAUUGCUAAUUGAAUUGAUUCAAUUCGUAAUUGUUAUAUUGCUUUAAUCCUGGUAGCAACUGGCAUAACUAGAUUUGUCUUAGGAAAAUGAAUAAUCUAACUUAAAGAGAUCUCGUAGCGUGUUGAUGGGUUAGAAUUAGAUUUUUCUAAUUAUUCAUGCAAUCGGGUAAUUAAACUUUUAUAGUCGUACCUAAAGUUAUUUCCUGAUUAGAGAAAUAGUCAACUGUUAUAUCUUGACUAUCGACAAAAUAGGGAAGAGUUGGCGUAUAAGCUGCUCUUUUUUGUUUUGUUUUGUUUUUUUCUAAUGUAAGUGAGAAGGUUUGAACCCAAUAUCUUUUAUUCAUACUCUCUUCUCUCGUAUCACCUAACCCAUUCCUCCACUCUCAUCAAAAUUGCUCUUUUAAGAAGUAAGAACAACCAUUGAGUCAUGUCCAGUGCUAAGGAAAACACUGGUUGAUUUUGCAUUUCUAGUUUGAUGUAUAGGGGCCUUUUCAUCUGAAGAUCAAAUAGUACAGUUUGGAAUUGCUAACGGUUCUGCGGCAAGCUUAAUAUCAAAUGGUACAGUUUUGAUCCCUAAUGAAGGGGCUAAGUAACUUCAUGUAUUCAUCCUUGUACUAUUUUUUUAAUUUACAUUUUUGUGUUUUCUGGAUAAAAUAGUACUACUUAUCAUAAACACGGGCGAAAUUUUAGAGCAACUUCAGAAACAUGUGUGUUAAAGUGGAGCUCAAGACUCCCAGAUAAUGAGAAUCUACGUUAGUAAAAGAACCAUCAUACCCAUUUACAAUUUCUUUUUUAAUAUUUCAGUGAAACUUAAAUACUCCAUUAGUUAGCCCUUACAUUACUCAAGCCAAUUACCAACAUAUACAUAUACAUAUAUCAUCGGCAUUUUUUGUUCCUAAUUGCCAGCAUAAUCCACAUCUUUUGAUUUUACAAUGAAUACUGUUAAAAAAAAAAAAGUCAUGAGCCCUUCUAUACUACGAGAAGAUGAUUGAUUGUUCACCCAGAUUUUGUCAAGUUUAGAAGAAAAAAAAAUCUUUGGAGUGAAUUGAAUCAAAUCCAAAUUUUGUGUUUUGUGAUAAUUCCUAAAAGCGAACGAAAUGCGGAUUUUCAGUGUAAAAAAUAUUUUAAGAAGCAGUGAUACACAUUGUAGGUUUAUUAGCACAAAGUAAUUAUGCUAGCCAAUGAUGAAUGAUCUCAUAUGCAAUGUGAGUUGAAACAUUGACAAAUUGGGGAAGGAAACAACACAUUGGGGGAUACCUAUUAACUUAAAAGGAGUCAUAUAAUAAACUUGGUACAUGUUCAGUAUUCGCCAUAAUAAUGUUGAUUUCAUUGACGAAGAAAUAAAACCGCUACAAAGUCUUUUGCUCCUUCUGGUAACAUAUAUAACCUUCCUUAAUUCCUAUACGGAAUUAAUUUCUGCUGACCAAUUAGUAUUUGUAAUAAAAACGGAUGGAAUAUCAAAGAAACCUUGGGAACAAAAUGUGAGACUACAUUGAUUUAGGAGGCCUUUGAACAGCAUGGAAAUUUAGCACAUGUGCAAUUUUUAGUCCGUAAAAUAUUGGUAGGGACAGUUUUGGUCCGCCAUGUUAAUCGUUUUGAAGUAGAUUUAGGAUGACUGACGAAUUUUUUCAAAUAUUGGUAGAAUCUGUUACAUGUGAUUACAUGCUUGUUAAUUUUAAAUAUCUUAAAAAAGAAGCAAAAUAGCGAGUACUCUUCAAUAAUAAGACCCGUUUACAUGAUGCCAUGUCGGUAACUAAUUAAUCAAGAGGGAAAAAAAAGAAAAUUUGUUAAUCUAUCUGAAAUGUUACGAUUUUGUGCUUGGCAUUGUCUGGAUAGAGUGUAAAAAUGAGUUCUAUAUCAAUGAAUUGUGUGCUUCAACUAAUUUGAGUUUAAAAUUUUUCAAUUUUUACUAGUUAAUUAGUUAGCAUAUGAAUUAUUAGUUCUUAAUUUUGUUGUUUAAAGUUAGCUACUAUUUUGCUUCUUUGUUUUGAAAUGUAAUUUAAUGGACACAUAAUUAGACGUGACUAAAUUAUGUUCGUAAUUGAACAAAAUUCUUCAAAUGUCCUAAAUCUAUUUUUAAAAUGGAUAUAUUAGGGACCAGAUUUGCUCUUGCAAAAAUUUUAGGGACCAAAACUACACAAUUAUGUUAUUAAUUAUAUUAUUAGAUAUAAAGAAUUGCAUUAUAUUGCGUGUAUAUAUAUUAUAUGCAUCUUUAAAUUUAAAUAUAUAUAUUUUUCGUAUGUGGGGGAUGUGGUGUGUGUAUGUUGCCCCGUUUUAAGGCAGGAGAAAAUUUUCUCCCCCCCCCCCGCCCUGUCCCAUCCUCCUCCCUAUUUCUACUCUCACGGGCACCUGCCCUUGUUGCCACCCUUAGUUUUAAGUACCCUUAUUUUAGAGUAAAUUAAACGUAAUCUUCUAUGGUUCCACUCAUUGUCAUAUAACCACCAUAACAUUACAAAACAUCUAUUUCACUCCCUUAGGUUCAGUGUAAACUUUAUGAAAAAUAACCUCUAUAACAUCCUUAUUUCAAAUACUAAUAAUGUCCUUAUUUAAAUGAUAAAGCGAAUAAAUGUUUAACUACCUUGGAUAAAACCGCAAGGAAAUUAUGUGGAUAAAUGUAAAAAUUACAAUGAGGUAAAAUGCGUAUUUAUUUAAAUCACAGAGGGUUAAGUGGAUUUUAUGAUUCCAUCACACAAGUUUAUGGGAGCGCAUUUAGUUUAAUCACCUAAUCAAAUGGUGUAUUCCUUCCAUUUUCUAUUUACAUAAAAUCACAUAAAUGUUAUAUAACUAUUAUGAAGCUUUAGAGGUGUUAUGUGGCAUUGAAGAAAAUUAUAGAGGGAUUAUAUGUAAUUUAUUCUUUUUUACAUGAAUUGUAGGUAUAUAGAUUAUUUUAAUGCUUUUUCGACAAAAUGAUAUAGAACUUUUUUGGGGGGGGGGGUUCAAAUGAUGUUGUAAUCAAUAGAGAGAAAUUUCAGAAGGAAUAUGAGGGCCCAAAUCUUAUGUAUUAGAAACUAGCUUCCUGAAUUUCAAAAAAGAAAGUUAAUUAGAGAUCCUCUCUUCAUAUUCUUUUUUUUUUAACUCAAUAGAACUUAAAAUUUGCCAGCGCCAUACGCUAAUCAAACAAAUUGCAAAAUCAAUCGUUCUUGAUUGCCCACAUGUUGCUAAACCUUAUCUUCAGCAUUCGUUCUCGAUUGCCUAUCUAAUUUAUCUAGAUUUUGUCACCUUUAGAAGUGAAAAUCUAGUUUAUUAGUUUGAUUUUGACCUUUUACUAUUGACCAUUACUUUUAUUGAAAAAACUGAUAGUGAAAUUUUAACCUAAAUCAUGAGAAAGUCAUAUAUAGGUUUUUUUUAACCAUAUAGAGUUAUGUGGUAAAGUACCAAAUCAUAGGGGAUAAAAUAUAAUUUACUUAACUUAAUAUUAGCUAGCCCUUACAUUGGUAAAGCAAAUGGGUCUGUGGUUGCUCUUGAUUGCCAACAUGCACAUACGUAGAUCAUCUACACUUUUGUUCCUAAUUGCCAGCAUAAACCAUAUCUUUUGAUUUUCCAAUAAAUACUGCCAAAAAAAAAAGAAAAAGUGACGUGUCCUUGUAUACUACUAGAAGAUUAUUGAUUGUGCACCCAGAUUUGUCUAGUUUAGGCAAAAAAAAAAAAUUAGAGUGAAUUGAAUCAAAUUCAAAAUUUGUGUUUUGUGAUAAUUCCUAAAAGAGAACGAAAUGUAGAUUUUGAGUGUAAAAAUAUUUUAAGAAAUGGUGAUAAACAUUGUCAGUUUAUUAGCACAAAGUAAUUAUAAUAGUCAAUGAUGAACGAUCACAUAUGCAAUGCUAAUUGAAACACUAGCAAAUUUGGGAAGGAAAUAGCAGAUUUGGGAAUGAUCAACAUAUCCAACAUUCGCAUAAUAAAGAGUCGCAUAAUAAACUUGGUGUAUGCUCAACAUUCGCUAAAUUUACCAAACAAACCAAUGGUUAUAGGUUUAAGACACAUUAAUAUAGGUCUUCUAAUUUAAAAUAGGUUUACAUAUUAUCUCUGACCAAGAAGUGCUCCGUUUGGAUUGUUCUAAUUUUUAAAAAUAAGUUUUUUAAAUACAAUGUUACAGUAAUACACAAAUAAAAAUAAUUCAAAAAAAUCUCAUUCAUAUGAUAUAUAAAAAACAACUCACAAAUACACAUAAAAAAUUUUAAAAAAAAUAAAUUUUACAAUAUUUUUCACCACCACUACCGCCACCCCCACCUAUUACCACCAUCACCCCUCCCUCACCACUACCCAACACCGCCACCACCCCCUCCCACUUCUUCCUCCUCUCCCUACUCUUCCUCAUCCCUUUUUCCCCUUCCCUUUACCUCCUCCCUUCCCCUUCCCUACCACCCUCUGGCCCUCACCUCCUUCUCUCGAUCUGGUCGCGACUAGACACUAGAGGCUAUGAUCUAGUCAUGGUUAAAUCGCGACCAGAAGGUUUGAUACUUUUUGGUCACGAUUUAACCGCAGAUCAAGGGGGAAAGGGGAGGGGAUAGUUGCGAUACGGGUGGUUACAAGUGAUAGUAUUAAUUUUUUUUAAAAAAUUUAAUUUUAAAAGAUAUUCCAAAGCAUAUUUCAAUAACCUCUUUCAAAUAUAUAUCUAUAUAUAUUAAAAUUUUAUUAUAUAUAUUAUUAUAAUAAAAUAUUUCAAAAAGUUGCUUUUUUUUUUUUUUUUUUUGAAGCAACGGAGCCUAAGUUUUAAAGUAUCUUGUCACUAUGAUAAAGGUUCAGACCUAGUGUACUUCUACUUUUCUGUACUUUUCUUUUCACCAUGAUUUACCUAGUGCACUUACACAGAGAAAGGGGCUCGCAAGAUACCUAGUGAAAUGACCCUAAAAAGGAAAAUGCAAAUAUCAAAUCAUGGUGGGUGGAUAGUUAGUAUCGGGACACCAGUCGACAGUUGAGCUAAGUAACACAUUGAUCAAACAGAUGCAAACUAGUAGUAGCAGUCUUCUGUUGAUUUAGGAGCGGAAAUUUUGGAUGAUUUCAUUUUCAUGCGCACGGAUUGCUCGGAGUCACAACAGCAGAGCAGAGGAGACACCUCAGGACCUCCGUUAGAUACGUUAAAUUAAAUUUAGCAGGGUGGAAGUUAGGCACCUCGGAGUCACUUUUUGGUUAUAGGUUUACAUAUUUUCUCUGACCAAAAUUUAAAAUUGAUCGUUUGCCAAAUAAAGAUUAAGACACAAAAAGGUAUAGAGUAAUAGUGUACUGUGCAUUAACAACAUCAAGCAUUGUACACAAUAGAUACAAUAAAUAAGAAGGUAAGACACAGAAGAUGUCGAAUGGGAAAAAAUUUACUAAUAAAAAAUAAAAAACAAAAGCAGUGUUGUCCACAGUAGAGAGGGUGCAAAUCAGAGAAAGGAGAACCACGGCGGCGGCGGCUGCUGCUGCUAGGAAUGAUUAUGUUUUCUUCUUCUUCUUCUCCCUUAGCUGGUGCUCUCUCCAUUUCCAAUCAUCUGUAUAGUAACCAAUGAGAAUUUCAGGAAUGUGUGCGAUUCUUGUGUAAUCUUCACUUUCUUCCUGCUGAAUCUCUAAUAGCUUCUCUCUCAAUUGAGAGCUCAACUCAUACAAAACCAGCCGUUGAAGCUGGAUUAAAUGCUGAAUACCCAAAGGCAACUCCUCUAGUAAUGGAAGUUGUUCCAGAAAUAGUUUUUGGAGAUGAGGCAAUGCACCCUCCUCCACUCUCAUCCAUCUCAACCCUUCCAUUCUCUUUAAGUGCAUCCGCUUCAGAUUUAGGAACCCUCCAGCCUUGAAACACAACCCUUCUCCCUGGUAAGAUCCGCAGAAAUUAAUUUCACCCAAAUUGGGCAAAUGUUGGAGGGAUUCAAGCGGAUCCUCCUCGCCCCUUAACCUGCUCCAAUCCAAAUCUAUUCUUACCAAGCCGUGAAGACGAGCUACCCAUUGUGGCAUCUUUUCUAAGCGGCCACACAAAAGCAGCAUACGAAGAGAUUGAAGAAACAAAGAAGAAAGAGAUGGACGAUGAUGAUUUAAAUCGAUUAUCUCGUAAUCAUCACCUUUUCCAAUUGAAUCAACACUUAAUUCCCGAAGACUGGUGAGGUUGGCAAGGGAGGAGCAGAGCUCUUUUCCAUCUUCUCUUCUCAACUUUGUAAUAUAUAGCUCUCUUAAUUGGGUCAGCUUUCCUAUCUCCUUAACUAUUGUGGAUCCACUACUUGCAUCUAUGCUGUCUAAUACUUCUAGGGCAAGAAGCCCUCCCAUAUUCGAGGGAGCUUUAAAUCCGUGAGAUCCGUAAUCAUCAUCUGAAGGAUCAAUUUGUUGAUGUACUUUGAGAAACCGAAGUUUUUGCAGCUUUAGGAUUUCCAUGGGUAAUUCCCUAACUCUUGUGUCAGCCAAAUUCAGAUACUCCAAAUGUUGAAGCUUUCCAAUGGCUUUCGGAACUCUCUCCACUCUCGUACCCCCUAGGUGUAGAUACUUGAGAUGAAACAAGUUGAAAAUCUCAUUUGGUAUUUCCUCUUGACCUCUCAAAUCUAAAACCUUUAACAGCUUACUGCUCCCUAAAACUUCAGAUAACAACGUUUUAUAUAGUAACGGGUCUGUGGAUCCAACUGUAAUACACGACCGGAGGUGGUCAAAGCAAUAAUUUCGUCUUUGUUGGUGGUGCUGGGUGUUGUUACUGCUACUACUAUGGACUACUAGACGGCGUACCUUGUCGGACGGCCAUGUCAUUGGUUGUCCAGUAGUAAUUGUGACCAUGUUUUGUUCCCUUGACUUGAGAACAAUAACUUCUCUCAACAGGUCAUGGAUUCGACAAGUGUCGGGUGAUCCUUCAUAAAACACAUUGGUCACUUGAAUUAGGCUUCUGCUGAUGAGUUCACUAAAAUAACCCCAAGCUACAUCUUCAAUACUCAUUCCUUCUCUCCAUUCCACAAACCUUUCAGCAAUCCACAAAUUAAUUAGUCUAAUGCAUGAUAUUUCAUAAUCCUCUGGGAAGAUGCUUGUGUACAACAGACAUGUCUUUAGAUGCCAAGGCAGGUCGCUAUAACUGAGAGAAAUUAUCUUUUUAACUCUGUCCAGCUUGCCCGUGCCUUCUAAUUCACCCCCAAGACUGCGUCGAACCAUCUCCCAUUCAUCUAUUCUGUUUACAUCUUUCGAAGCCAAAAGCCCACUGAUUGCAAGAAUUGCAAGGGGCAAGCCCUCACAUUUGUCCAAUAUACCUUUGGCAACAUCCAUCAAAUGGUCAGGGCAAUUACCUCCGUCAAAGAUCUUGCUGCAAAACAGGGUCCACGAAUCCUCAACAGAUAGUGGUUCCAUUCUGUAGACAAAACGCCGAGAUUCAAUGCAAGAGGCAGAGGCUACAUCAGCUCUUCGAGUUGUUAGCAUGACACGGUUGCCGUGGCUACUCUCAGGCAGUGCAAAUUUGAUGGUAUUCCAAAAUUCCACGUCCCAUACAUCAUCAAAAACGAUUGCAUACCUUCCGGCUUGUUGAAGAAAAUCUUUGACAAUUUUUUUCAGCUCGGUGGUAUUCGAACACUCUAUCGAUUGUGGGACUGGUUUCUUCCCUUCCUUGUGUAACUGCUGAAUCAAGUCUUUCAGGAGGUACUGAAAGUCACAUGUUUCAGAGACAGUUACCCAAGCACGGACUGGGAAAUGCCUUCUGACUUCAGGAUCCUCGUGGACUCUUUUCACCAGGGUAGUUUUGCCAAGUCCUCCCAUACCAACCACUGAAACAACUUUCAGUUGGUGAUCAUCACCUUCGAGGAGCUGAGAAAUUAGAUGUUUCUUGGGCUGGUCAAUGCCAACUAAUUCAGAUUCUUCCACAAGCAGUGCGUCAUCUCUGCUAUAGCGCCAUGUUGUGUUGUUCACAGCAGGAAGUGAGUUGGACGCUUGGGCAGGGAUACCAAAUUCGGAUUGGUAUCUUUGAUGGGCUGCAGCAAUACCUUCGAUUCUGGACUUGAUGCUUUGUAUUUCGCUGGCAACUCGAUGACGAGCUCUCAAAUUCUUGAUGGAGCUGAAAAUUCUCCGAACAGAGCCGUAGAAUCCUGUUGCGCGAUGCCGAGCAAAGCGAGCUACAAAUUCAUCAAGAAUGUCUUCAGUGUCAUAAGCAGCUUCUCGCACUUGCUUGAUCCAUGCUUGGAGCCUGGGUUGAGCAUGUUCUUCUUUUGCUUCUGCCUCUCGCAGGAAAGCUCUCAUUUGCUCCAACUCAUCCAUGAUGAAUUGAACCUCUCGCCGAAGCCCUCCCAAUAGUCGUCCCUCCUCGAGUAGAAAAGUUGAGAGUUGAGCCAGCACAAAAGAGAGAACAGUUUCCGCCAUUUUCAGUCUUUCUUUUUAACCUAAGAAAGUUGGGGAAGGCGGCUUCUGGUUUAUAGGACAGUCCACUUGUAGUAUCUUGAAAGGAAGAGUAGGUUAUAGAUUCAUAAGCUAAUGAACUUUGAUGCUAUAUGUUGCAGUAUUUAUCAAAAAGAAAAACCGUGUCAAAAAGAAAAAGAAAGAAUUAACCAAUUAUAAGAAAUUAGCUUCAUUAAUUUCAAAGGAAGAAGUUAAUUAGAGAUCCUCUCUUCGUAUUCUGAUUUUUAACUCAGUAGAACUCAGCAUCUGCUAACCCUUACAUUAAUCAAACAAAUUGCCAACCAAUCGUUCUUGAUUGCCCACAUGUUGCUAAAUCUUAUUGUCAGCCUCAUAAUUCUGUAAUGUUGAUUUUUGAAUUAACUACAUUAGAAAAGAAUAUGAGUUCCACUUUACUACUAAAAUUGAUUAUUAGCAGAGAAGGCAAAAGAGAUUGGCGAUGCCGAGCCUUAGCACCUUCCAUUAGUAUCCGCCCAGAAAGCAAUAGUGAUAACUUGCAGUGAUAAGUGCAAUUGUUCAGUCAUCUUCUUUUUUAGUAAAGAAUGGAAGGGUGAUUAAUACAUGACUUUAGUCAUUCAAUAAGAAGUAGAUCUAGAAUUACAGGCUAAGUAUCCAAAUAUAGUAGUGUUCAAUGCAACCGUUAUGAUUAGGCAUGUCUAAAAGUCUAUGUAACUUAGGAUCCAUGCCUGGACUGACACAGCAAUUGGGGUUCCAAUUAACUAUAGUAGUAACGUGACUUAGUUCAAAUUACAAAACUCGAUCACAAGUAAUUGUACGGAGUUGAAUAAAUCAUAUAAUAAAUACGGCACCACAGUAACCAAGUUAGUGUUAGUCCCUUGUGAUCACCAAUUUAAUCUAUUAUCUCACUUCUUUCUUUCUUUUGUUUUUUCUAUCCCUCCUUUUCCAGUUGUGGAAUUACUGCAUCUAGGACUAGAUAGGACGAAAGGCGGCUCAUUUUACCAAUUAGAAACGUGGCUAUGUUCAUAAAAAAGAAAAAAAAAAGCCUUGAACUUCAACGAAAGUAAACAAAUCUCAGCACUUACUUGAGAGAAAAUGAAACCUCUGGCAAUAGCUGUUCUGAACCUACCCUGUCAAAUCCAAGUUUGAUGAAAAAGAGAACACGGGCGAGGAAGAUGAUAAUUUGAAUCAAAAUUAAAACAAUGCAGUAUAUGUGCAAGGCCUUUAGCUAGGAAGAUGGAGUCUUAUAGAGGAGAAGGUAGAGGAGCAGUACCGUUUUUGAUAAGAAAGUAUCCGGAGUGAAAUUGGCCGUGACUUUCCUGGUUGGAUACUAGUAGAACAAUCACUCAACGUGGAUCUCAUCCAUCGGCUGUCAGGUUGGAUGCUAUAUGGUGCAGUAUUUAUCAAAAAGAAAAAGAAAGAAUUAACCAAUUAGAAGAAACUAAAGCAAGAAACAUGAUGGAAAUUGAAGACAGGAAGAUAGGCAGCAACGCGAGUUUGAAAGACGAAGCUGCUUAGAAAUUAGAAUACAAAAUCAUGGAAGCUAUUAAGAAGACUGUGCAAAUGGUGGGGUGAUCAGCCUUCAGGACCUUCUUUCAGCUGUGGGUCCUUUGGUCGGAUAAAGAUAAAGGAGUGACUACCGCAGCAUCGUGCAAAAGCAAUGAUGCCGAAUUAUUUAACAAGGGAAGGAAUAAAGUUAAAACGCGGCUGGAAUGGACAUUGUUGAUUUCGUUGACGAAGAAAUAAAACUACUACUACAAAGUCUCUUGCAGCUUCUGCUGACAUAUAUAACCUCCUCCUUCUGUGGAACUAAUUUCUACUCCUUUUUUUUUUUCUUUUCCAGGAAUACGUGAUGCAGAGGAAAGUUAUUUCUUCUGAGUGGAACAGAAAAAGCAACUCAAGACCUAAGCUCAAUUCAGGUUUCUGAUGAAUUCUUUUGUGAAAUCUAGCCGAGAGUAGCUGAAACUAAUUAAGAAUACAAAAUUAUACUUGGCACGCAAUAAGCAGAAAGGCAUCCAAAGGGUCAGUAUAAAUUAUCUUCAAAUUUCAGAACACCAGUGCUUGUGCACCUAUUAAUGCCAAAAGCCAGAUUUUAGCACUUUGGCCCUGUUAAUGAUUUAUUGGUAAACCCAUGGACUCGAUAAUAGUAUAGUUACUUUAACGUAAGCUUUAAACAUUCCCCUACCUUGUUUCUUUUAACUGAAUAGUAGAUGUAUAGAUAAUUUCAAUGCUUAUUAUUGGACUAAAUGAUGUUGCACUUUAUUUGUUCAUUUGUUCAUUUUUUGUUUUUAGGUCAAAUGAUGUUGUACUCGAAAAAAGAGGAAUGUGCGAAAGAAUAUGAGUAAAUCUUAUAUACACUGAGAGUGUAUAUAUUAUUACUUUUCUUUAGACUUUAUUUGUUCAUAAUUUUGCAUGCAAAGAUUUCGGACAAAUAUCCUUUACGAUAAUUUGAAAGGUAUUUGUCUCAACUCUUGCACAAAAUUAGAUAAAUCUACUUGAACUAUGGUGUGUUUUUGCAGAGAAUUCUACUAGCAGAAAAAUGAUCUUCUAUAGCAAACCAUCCUUACUAGACCUUUAUAGAGUUGAAAUUAAAAAUGAUCAAGAGUUGCAACCUUUCACCACUAAUCUGUGUAUUUGUGUUGGUCAAAAAGUUACUCAACAUCAAUGCAAGUGUUUAGACAGUUUUUGGAUGUUUAAACACACCAUUUAGACAGUUUUUUAGAUUUAAAGAUAUUUCCUUGUGUUAAUUAUGUGAUUGCUUCCCCCAUUAGAAGAAUUUUAUCCAAAGAUUCGUGAAGAUGUAGUCUUAGAUAUCAAGCUUUCAACUUUUUUCUUUCCUUUUUUUUUUUUUUGUUUUCUUAAUAAACCUUGGAAGAAAAUGCAAGUAGAUCAGUGUUAUAAACAAGCAUUUAUUUUUAGAUAAUUGCCAUCUGGAUUCUGGAGUCAUAAAAGUUUAAAAAAAGAGUUGGAAUUUUCAAUUUUCCCAGCAUGAGUUGCUACCUCAAAUGCCCCUUACAAACCAAAUAUAAACUUGGAAGCUUCUUCUGAGAUAUUGGCCAUAUGACAGAAGGGUAAGGAGAGCUUUCUUUGCGAAGACGGUAGAGAUAGAUAGGAGGGUGGUGGAUUUGAGACAUAAAGAGUACUGUGUGUGUUUGAGGAAUCCAAUAAACAGUAGUGUUUUGUUUACUGCUGUUGUCUUUGUCUCCUUCCUGGAGUGGUGAAAAAGAAGAAAAAAAAAAAAAAAGAGGAGUGGAGCCAUUAAAGUCAGUCAAAAAGAAAAAGAAAAAAGUAAUCAAUUACGAGAAACUAAAGCAUGAGAGACGCAGGAAAUUGAAUAGAAAGGAGACAGAUAGCAACGUGAUUUUGAUCAGUUGGUGGGGGGUGGCUACCAUCAAAUAAAGGGGUACCGCACCAUCGUUCAAAAGCAAUCGAUCUCUAAACUUAAAAACGUGGUGGGCUGGACAUUGAUUUCAGAUCAUUGAAAAGUAAAUAAAGGGAAACAGAAUUCCUGUGUUCUAAGUUCAAACAUUUGAUAGGGUGUUAAUUGUUGGUUAUUUUAUUAUUAAUUUUCCUUUUUAUCCUUGCUAAAUAUUGCUUAAUUGUUAAAUAUAUAUUUAUAUUUGGUAUUUGAAUCUCAUUUCAGGAAUGGAGCAGAAAACUACAAAAAUGAGGGACUUUUUGGAAAUAAUUGAGACUUCAAAUAAGCCACAGACUUGGCCCACAUGGUGAUAUACGUGGACUGCAUUUCUUUUGCUAAUUGGGAGUGUCUUGAGUACUUAAGAGUCCUAAGAGCAAUGAAAGACGAAAAAGAGGAGGAAACAUCAAGAGGCCUUGCCUUUUGUACUUUGAUUUGGAAUCUACGGCGGGGACCACGGGAAAGCAUUGAGUCAUUUUCAGCUUUGGAAGGAAAGAAACGUAGGGAGUUUUGAGAGUUGUUUUUGUUCUUUAUUCGUGGGGACCACUGGAUAGAUAGCUUUAGUCAUUUCCUUUGGCUAUAUAAGGACAAUCGUAAGAAAGGCUACGGAGACCUUUUUUUUAGCAUAGUUUAGUUUUUAUUCUUUCGCAUGGUUGUUCUCCAUUAAUGGAGGACUAACCUCUUAAUUCUAGUCAAGGGGACAACUGAAGAUUUGGUUCAACAAUUACUGUGAGAUCUAAUUUAUUUUAAUUGUUUCCUUAAUUUAUUGGUAUUUAUAUGUUUCCUGCUUUUAAUUGUUAUAGCUCAUGUGAAUGAUUGAAUAGAUGCGCAAUAUUUAAUUAUUCAUAUAGGCUAUUUUGCUAAAUAGGGGUAAUUGAAUCCGUAAUUGUUCGUUAUCUCUAUUCCAGUAGCAACUGGCGUAAUUGGGUUUAUGUCAGGGGAACAUACGAUCUAACUUAAACAAACCCUCGUAGCGUGUUUGUUAGUUAGGAUUGGGCCUUUCUAAUUAUUAAUGCAAUCUAGAAAUUAGAUCCUACGGUCGUACCUAGGGUUAUUUUUGGGUUAGAGAAAUAGCUAACGGUCGUACCUUAGCUAUCGAGAAAUUAAGGAAGGGUUGGUUGUUUAUCGCAUGCAUGACAACUAUAACUAAUCUAUUACUAAAUGUUGGAAUUAUUUCUGCAUCAAUGAUCAGUUGCAUGAACCAUUUCUGAAGUGUAUCCUUGACUAGAGUUUCUCUAAUUAUUUCUUUUAAUUAAUUAUUUUCUGCAGUUAAUUUAUUUAGUUAGUAUUUGAUCCAAAAACCCCUCAUACUUUGGACUCUAGAAGAAACGAAUUAUCCCCAAUCCCUGUGGAUUCGACCCUGAUAGGGUGUUAAUUGUUAGCAAUUUUAUUGUUAAUUUUCCCUUUUAUCCUUGCCAAAUACUGUUUUAAUUAUUAAUAUUUAUUUAUAUUUGGUAUUGGACCCAAUUUCAGGGAGUGAAGCAGAAAACUACAAAAAAAAGGAGGGACUUUCUGAGAAUAAUUGAGACUUCAAAUAAGCCACAGACCUGGCCCACAUGGUGAUAUACGUGGACUGCAUUUCUUUUUUGCGGAUUAGGAGUAUCUUGGAGUGUUGAAGUGUUUGACUAUCAAGAGGAAACUAAAGAAAGAAGGACUUCAGAGAACUUCACUUUAUGUACACUCCUUUCUCAAUUUGUGCGGGGACCACGGAGAGAAGAAAGGCAUUAGUCAUUGGACUUUGGAAGGAAAGAAACGUAGGAAGCUUUGAGAGUUGUUUUUGUUUCUUAUUCGUGGGGACCACUGGACAUAUAGCUUUAGUCAUUUCCUUUUGGCUAUAUAAGGACAAUCGUAAGAAAGGCUACGGAGACUUUUUUCUUAGCAUAGUUUAGUUUUUAUUCUUUCGCAUGGUUGUUCUCCAUUAAUGGCGGACUAACCUCUCAAUUCUAGUCAAGGGGACAACUGAAGACUUGGUUCAAUAAUUACUGUGAGAUCUAAUUUAUUUUAAUUGCUUCCUUCAUUUAUUGGUAUUCAUAUGUUUCCUGCUUUUAACCGUUAUAGUGCGUGUGGAUGAUUGAUUAGUGCGCAAUAAUUAAUUAUUCAUACAUGCUAUUUUGCUAUAUAGGGGUAAUUGAAUCCGUAAUUGUUCGUUAUCUCUAUUCCAGUAGCAACUGGCAUAAUUGGAAUUGUGUCAGGGGAAUAUUUGAUCUGGCUUAAAUAAACCCUCGUAGCGUGUUUGUUAGUUAGGAUUGGGCCUUUCUAAUUAUUAAUGCAACCUAGAAAUUAAAUCCUACGGUCGUACCUGGGGUUGUUUUUGGGUUAGGGAAAUAGCUAACGGUCGUACCUUAGCUAUCAAUAAAUUAAGGAAGGGUUGGUUGUUUAUCGCGUGCAUGACAACUAUAACUAAUCUGUUAAUAAAUGUUGGAAUUAUUCCUGCAUCAAUGAUCAGUGCAUGAACCAUUUCUGAUGUGUACCCUUGGCUAGAGUUUCUCUAAUUAUUUCUUUUAAUUAAUUAUUUUCUGCAUUUAAUUUAUUUAGUUAGUAUUUAAUCCAAAACCCCCCCAUACUUUGGACUCUAGAAGAAACGAAUUAUCCCCAGUCCCUGUGGAUUCGACCCUACUCACCGCUAUAUACAAAAUCUGUAUUUUUCUCGAGUAGAUAUUUAUUAUUGUACAGGUUCGGUACCUGUCAAUUGUUGGCGCCGCUGCCGGGGACUAGUGUCAGAUUAAUUUGUUUCUUUUUUAGUUCACCUUGUUUUCAUUUUCAAUUUAUUUUUCUUUUUUUUUAUGGCUGUUAACAUUCCAUAUUUUGAUGAUAGACUGGACUUUGUUCCUGAAUGGGGUUAUGAGACUCAUGUUUUUCCUAAUGAUCAAUGGGAUAUUGCAAAUUGUGGAACUUAUUUUGACUCAGGUUAUUCAACUGACACAUGCCCCGCAUUUCAAGAUAAUCUAAGUGCUCCAAUUGAUACUUUUGGAGAUUUUCCACCCCAAUAUCAAAUGCAGUAUGACCCUUAUUCAAACGGGUAUGAUCAAGAAUGGUGGGAUAAUUCCAAUUUUAAUUAUGCGACGGGGCCAAUGGAUUUUCAACAGCAAGAGUCUCAGCAAUCAUCCUCCGUGUCAGGUAUGUCUCUUGAAGAAAUGAUAGGUUUACUAAUUGCUAAUUCAAAUCGAUUUCAUCAGGAGACACAAGCGAGCCUAAAUCGAUUUCAUCAGAAGACACAAGCGAGCCUUCGCGACCUGGCGGAUCAAAUGCGUCAAUUGACAUCCAGGAUAGAUCGAUUGGCUUCUCAAAUGGAAGAAUUGCCAGCACAAACCAAUAUCAAUCUUGAGGAAGAUGAGAGUGCAAUUGUCCGGCCAAAUGACAUGGAACUGCAAGAGUUUCAAGAAAACGGAUUUAAAGAUGCAGUUGAAAAGGAAGCUGAAGUGCAAGAAAUGAGACUCCAAGAUCAACUCGUUCAAGUGAAUGAAUCCAGUGAACAAUCUCCAAAUGCGGUGACAUCCCCUCCACUCCUUCAUCAAUAUUCUCCUGACUCUUACUCUUCAAUUCCUGUUAACGAAAUUGACUUUAUUAUACCAGACAAUUUUGAAUUUCAUGACAGGAAUAAAUUAAGAGUGGCGAUGGUGAGAUAUCUUGAACCAAUAAAUGCAAGUGGGGGAGGAGUGAAUGGAGAAUGUAAAUUAUCAUCGACUCGUUUGGCGCCAUUCACUAGUCCAUGGAAGCCCGUAGCUCGUAUGCUCAAGGAUUAUUCUAUUUACGAGGGUUAUCAGGACUAUAUAGAGGAUGAAGCAGUAAGACGAGCCAUAAGAUUUUAUCCUCCAUGAGCAAAACAUGAUAAUGUCUAGCCAAAGACAUUAAAGAAAGGCGCUCAUUGGGAGGCAACCCAAUUGUUCCUUUUAGUUGUUUGUUUGAUUUUAUGUAGUUAGUUUAAAUAUGUUCUCCUUGAAUUCGACUGAUUUUGGGUUUCAGUUUUCGUUUUUGCUGAUCUUAUAGGUGCCCUUCAGUCAUGACGCGCCCGCGUGGUGACGUGCAGGAAGCUCACGAUCAGAAACUUCAAACUUCUGGGAGCUCUCUUGCCCUCAUGACGCGCCCGCGUGGUGACGAGCAGGAAGCUCACGAUCAGAAACUUCAAACUUCUGGGAGCUCUCUUGCCCUCAUGACGUGCCCGCGUCACGUUCGCGGGAAAGGUAAGGAUUCAAAAAAAUAUAUAUAUAUAUUUUCCUUUUAACCAUAGCUACUUCUUUUCUUUUUUGUUACAAAAGAGAAAAAAAUAAAAAAAAAUAAAAAAAAUUAAAUAUAAAUUUUGAAAAAAAAAAAAAAAAAAAAAAAAAAAAAAAAGAAGGAAAAGAGGAAGUAAUACGGAAUCAAAUGGAAGAUUUUUCUUUCUCCUUACCGUAGCUAGUUCUUCAAUUGUCAAAAAAAAAAAAAAAGGGAAAAAAAAACCUUUCUUUUUCUUUCUUUCUUUCUUCUUCUUUCUCUUUUCUUUCUUUCUUCUCCCCUGUUUCUUCUUCCUCUCUGUCGGCCGAGCACACCUCAUGCCCGCCGCCAUCUCCUUUACCCGCGACCAACGCCUAGCGCGUCGCCACCUCUGCCCCAGCUCACCUCCACCGCACGCCAGAGCUCCGACCAGCUCACUCCCUCUCCUCGCUCCUCGCAUCUUCACCUGGGCACGCUGCCGCCGCUUCCUCCACCUAGCCAUGCCAAGCAGCCGCGCGCCGCCGCUGCUGGAGCUUACGUCUCUUGUACCUCUUCGCUCCUCUGCUCCUCGCACGCCUCACUCCAGCUCACCUCCACCGUACGCAAGUCACUCUCACCCUCGCAAACCACCACCGCGCGACCAUCGAAAGGCAGCCCAGCUCGCCGCUGCCACUCGAAGCUCGCGACGCAGCAGCCCACGGCUGAGCCCACAUCUCCCCUGUCCGCCGCAGCCUCCAUCCGACGCCACCAAGCAGCCGCACGAGUUCACUCCAGGACGCCGCUCCUCCUCAGCUCAGUCCGCAGCCAACAGUUCUCCUCCAGCUUUGUCCACCAGCCCGCAGCCCCAGCUCCUCCUGUGUUGCGCGCCACUCCACCUCUACGCUCCAAGCUCCAAGCUCCGUUAGCUGCCUCUCAUUUCUCUCUCACAGCCCGCGACCGCCGCUGACCGGCCGCCGUCGCGCUCCACGACCAGCUCCACCACCCAUGCCAUUUGCUUGGUGUCUCUGGUAUGAAGCGGAGGUAUUUGUUUUUCCCAAUUUAUUGGCUAACUUUCUAAGGUAAAUUACUUAUAUUUGGAGUACUAUUUCUGGAAUAGAUUUCUAGAUUGAAUUGGGCAUAGACUUUGGAUUCUAUGUUGAACUUUGGUUUUCGGGUCCCUGCUAAAUUAAUUUGUUGAACUCUUGAUGCCCUAUGACUAUUGAUUUAAGUUGCUAAAUUCGGGCCUCUGCUGAAUUGUAGUUGGCAAAGUUGUGCAUUUAUUUGUUCAAUCCAGCAAUUUUAAUACUUAGUGCAUUGAUUGCUGAUUUCAUGGCCAUAGUUACUAUCCCAAUUCAUUCGUUUGGGACUUCUUUUAGCCCUUGAGAUUGAUAUUUUCUAAACCCUCUGUUAGCUAUUCUUAUUUGGAAAUUAUUGGGAGUUGAUUUUGGGGGUUUGCUGCUUUUGUUGGGCGUUUGUUGCGAUUUUGGGUUGGGCAUUUAGUUGCUGCUUCUGUGCACCAUCGGUUGCGAUUUUUAAGAGGUUCUUGUGGCUGUUUUAAGAGGUUCUGGGAGGCAUUUACUGAGAUUUUGUGGGGAAAGGUUUGGUAUUUGUCUGCAUUUGCGGAUAUCAUUGCUUAUUGAAUUGCAUUUGCUGGUUCUUACAAUAGUGGGGCUUCCUGUAAUUAUUGAUUCUUUUGUUGCAUUGUUGGGAGCUGUGUUCUGAUAGUGUGGGUAGCUACUUUCUGCGGUUGAAUGUUGAUUUGGGAAGCUACUGUGACACUUCCAUUGCCUAAUGCUCAUUUUGUUGCAUCUAAUUGACUUGCUUGGGGUAAUCUGCCCAUCCAUUUUAAUUACUCAAGUCUUUGGAGCAGUUGUUGCACAUUUGGACUACUUUGUUUCUAUAUCUGACUGAAUUGGGACCACAAGUGCUUGUCAAUUGCAUUUGCUAUAAGUAUUGGGGUAUUCGUAUAGAUUUUAGGAGACUGCAUUGUGCAUUUUAUUGUUUGGGUUGCCUGCUAGUUACCAUGGUGAAGCCACGAUCCUCCCCCAGGGGCCGACGACUGGCUCCAACUUCCGAUGACAGUUGAGAGACUGGAGACUCGCGUGACCCACAUUGAUAUCGACUUGCAUAACAUGGCGCAGAAUUUGGCAGUACUCCGCCCGACCCGCCCCUGUUUUGACGAUUUCAGGGAAGUACCGUUGCCCUUCUCCUUCCUUUUGCUGUUAGUUUAUCACAUUGAGGGCAAUGUGUGAUUUAGGUGUGAGGGGGUCAGUUUUGGGUGCUAGUAUUUUUAUUUUUAGUUUCUAAAGGCUUUUCCUUUAUUUUUAGUUUGAUUCUAGUGGUCAGUCUUCAUAUGAAUACCAAGUUUUGAUGCCGGAUUGUUGUCUCUAAUUCUGCUAUUGCCAAGUUUAUUAAUAAAGAGGUAUCAAGUUGAUGUGGUUGAGUUCAGGAACAUCUCUUUGGUGAAUAUCAAUAAUUGCUUAACUUUUUCAAUUUUUGGUUAACUUUUCUAGGCAUAGGGAAUGAUUGUUGGCAUUUUUCAUGUGAAUUGGUCCAGUUAUUAAUUUUAGUUCUCCAUGUUUGGAAAUUUGAGGCUGGCUGUUGUUAAUCUUGUGUUGCUUUUAGAUAUCGUGCAAUAUGAUUAUAAAUAAGGGUUGACUGUACUCCGCUAGUAGUUACUACUGAGUAACCGGGGAUCUUCACCUAAAGUAUUGAUUUUCGCGUUAAAAGGUAGUAGUUACUAUGAGUGCGUGGUCCCGUAGCAAUUGGAGCUGAGUAACCGGGCUCCUCCAUCUAUCAAAUGUUGGAGUUCGCGUCAAAAGGCUCUAAGGGCUAUAGACUAAGUCUUUUGUUACUAAAAAAAAAAAAAAAUAAAAAAAAACAAAACAAAAAGAAAAAAAAUAAAAUAAUGAUUGUGUUAGUAUGUGAAUAAGUCAGCUUGCCGGUUUGUGAUCUUAAUGUCGAGAUUUUGGUUAAUAGUUGGACCAUUUACUGAUAAAUAUGAGCAACCAUUCCUUUUCCUUAGAUUAGUUUACUUUAAAUUGGAGGAGUCAGCGAUUUGAAAGCUAACCGAGGUGAUAUUUCUUGGAUUUUGACCAUUGAGACUUGAUAUAUGUUUUCAUGGUCCCUUGGCAAUAUGGUAGAUGGAGCAAUACCCAUUUUCAAAUAUUGGUGUUGUUUGUCGUCUCCAUGCUUGAGGGCAAGCAUGAUUUAGGUGUGGGGGGAAUUGAUAGGGUGUUAAUUGUUAGCAAUUUUAUUGUUAAUUUUCCCUUUUAUCCUUGCCAAAUACUGUUUUAAUUAUUAAUAUUUAUUUAUAUUUGGUAUUGGACCCAAUUUCAGGGAGUGAAGCAGAAAACUACAAAAAAAAGGAGGGACUUUCUGAGAAUAAUUGAGACUUCAAAUAAGCCACAGACCUGGCCCACAUGGUGAUAUACGUGGACUGCAUUUCUUUUUUGCGGAUUAGGAGUAUCUUGGAGUGUUGAAGUGUUUGACUAUCAAGAGGAAACUAAAGAAAGAAGGACUUCAGAGAACUUCACUUUAUGUACACUCCUUUCUCAAUUUGUGCGGGGACCACGGAGAGAAGAAAGGCAUUAGUCAUUGGACUUUGGAAGGAAAGAAACGUAGGAAGCUUUGAGAGUUGUUUUUGUUUCUUAUUCGUGGGGACCACUGGACAUAUAGCUUUAGUCAUUUCCUUUUGGCUAUAUAAGGACAAUCGUAAGAAAGGCUACGGAGACUUUUUUCUUAGCAUAGUUUAGUUUUUAUUCUUUCGCAUGGUUGUUCUCCAUUAAUGGAGGACUAACCUCUCAAUUCUAGUCAAGGGAACAACUGAAGACUUGGUUCAAUAAUUACUGUGAGAUUUAAUUUAUUUUAAUUGCUUCCUUCAUUUAUUGGUAUUCAUAUGUUUCCUGCUUUUAACCGUUAUAGUGCAUGUGGAUGAUUGAUUAGUGCGCAAUAAUUAAUUAUUCAUACAUGCUAUUUUGCUAUAUAGGGGUAAUUGAAUCCGUAAUUGUUCGUUAUCUCUAUCCCAGUAGCAACUGGCAUAAUUGGAAUUGUGUCAGGGGAAUAUUUGAUCUGGCUUAAAUAAACUCUCGUAGCGUGUUUGUUAGUUAGGAUUGGGCCUUUCUAAUUAUUAAUGCAACUUAGAAAUUAAAUCCUACGGUCGUACCUGGGGUUGUUUUUGGGUUAGGGAAAUAGCUAACGGUCGUACCUUAGCUAUCAAUAAAUUAAGGAAGGGUUGGUUGUUUAUCGCGUGCAUGACAACUAUAACUAAUCUGUUAAUAAAUGUUGGAAUUAUUCCUGCAUCAAUGAUCAGUGCAUGAACCAUUUCUGAUGUGUACCCUUGGCUAGAGUUUCUCUAAUUAUUUCUUUUAAUUAAUUAUUUUCUGCAUUUAAUUUAUUUAGUUAGUAUUUAAUCCAAAACCCCCCCAUACUUUGGACUCUAGAAGAAACGAAUUAUCCUCAGUCCCUGUGGAUUCGACCCUACUCACCGCUAUAUACAAAAUCUGUAUUUUUCUCGAGUAGGUAUUUAUUAUUGUACAGGUUCGGCACCUGUCAGACCCUACUCACCGCUAUAUACAAAAUCUGUAUUUUUCUCGAGUAGAUAUUUAUUAUUGUACAGGUUCGGCACCUGUCAACAUUCCACUUCUCUGCUUAAGCUAUUUUGAAACUUGAAACUAGAAAAUGUCGAAUGAACUUUCGGUAAGAGAAGGCAUCAAGAUUCAGAAGUGAUAUUUAUGCCUCAAAGAUGACCAAUUAUUUUGUAGAGACCAUAUGUUUAGUCUCUUUAAUGAAUAAUAAGGAGAAUUCUACACUUCAACAGCCAAAACUCAAAUCAAUAUUCAAUUUGCUCUUGUUGAAAUUAACCUUCUGGUAAUCAUUCCUUCCUCCCUCUGAAAUUCAUCAAUGCCACCCAACUCGUGAGUUUCGAACAAUCCCAUGACCACCCAUAAUUUACUAUACAAGAUUCACAGCACCAAUUUAAUAGAAUAUAUUAAAAAAAAAUCACCUGAAAAAUGCAAUCCAAACGGAAUUGCAUGCAGACGAAAUUUAUUUUGAGUUAGGAAACAUAAAAAAUUUAUGUACUUGAUUGAGCAGGUCCGACAAUGAAUAAGAUUCAAAAGCAGCUGAAUUUAGAGAAGGCGAUAAGUGCAUCAUUCAAGUCUCCCCUUGAAAAACUGCACACGUACCCCCUCACAGCAAUAGUCUACUUCAAACAAAAUCAGUAACUACACUGAAAAAUUUGUUGCACUAUUUCAAAAUCAUAUGAGCAUAUAUGCAUGAUCAGUUGAUAAAGAAUACCAACAUAUAUAUUAUAUGUGCAUCCAAUCUAUAUUCGAUUACCUCCCUCAAUGUUGAACUCUCUCUCUCUCUCUCUGGACAUCUAUAUGCUCUUCCAAAACUAUUAUACUUACAAGUAAACAAAACCUGCACAGCUAUACUAGAGCUUUACACAAACCUAAACAUAUAUACACGACUAAUCAUGAGAAAGACUGCAAACGAACAGCCACACACUUUUUCCUCAUCAAAAAGCCCUCCU